rnacentral:rRNA from 1 species
UACGUAGGGUGCGAGCGUUAAUCGGAAUUACUGGGCGUAAAGCGUGCGCAGGCGGUUCGUUGUGUCGGCGGUGAAAGCCCCGGGCUUAACCUGGGAAUGGCCAUGGAAACUGGCGAGCUGGAGUGUGGCAGAGGGGGGUGGAAUUCCGCGUGUAGCAGUGAAAUGCGUAGAUAUGUGGAGGAACACCGAUGGCGAAGGCAGCCCCCUGGGUCAAGACUGACGCUCAUGCACGAAAGCGUGGGGAGCAAACAGG